rnacentral:rRNA from 1 species
AGUCGAACGAGAGAAUUGCUAGCUUGCUAAUAAUUCUCUAGUGGCGCACGGGUGAGUAACACGUGAGUAACCUGCCCCCGAGAGCGGGAUAGCCCUGGGAAACUGGGAUUAAUACCGCAUAGUAUCGAAAGAUUAAAGCAGCAAUGCGCUUGGGGAUGGGCUCGCGGCCUAUUAGUUAGUUGGUGAGGUAACGGCUCACCAAGGCGAUGACGGGUAGCCGGUCUGAGAGGAUGUCCGGCCACACUGGAACUGAGACACGGUCCAGACACCUACGGGUGGCAGCAGUCGAGAAUCAUUCACAAUGGGGGAAACCCUGAUGGUGCGACGCCGCGUGGGGGAAUGAAGGUCUUCGGAUUGUAAACCCCUGUCAUGUGGGAGCAAAUUAAAAAGAUAGUACCACAAGAGGAAGAGACGGCUAACUCUGUGCCAGCAGCCGCGGUAAUACAGAGGUCUCAAGCGUUGUUCGGAAUCACUGGGCGUAAAGCGUGCGUAGGCUGUUUCGUAAGUCGUGUGUGAAAGGCGCGGGCUCAACCCGCGGACGGCACAUGAUACUGCGAGACUAGAGUAAUGGAGGGGGAACCGGAAUUCUCGGUGUAGCAGUGAAAUGCGUAGAUAUCGAGAGGAACACUCGUGGCGAAGGCGGGUUCCUGGACAUUAACUGACGCUGAGGCACGAAGGCCAGGGGAGCGAAAGGGAUUAGAUACCCCUGUAGUCCUGGCAGUAAACGGUGCACGCUUGGUGUGCGGGGAAUCGACCCCCUGCGUGCCGGAGCUAACGCGUUAAGCGUGCCGCCUGGGGAGUACGGUCGCAAGAUUAAAACUCAAAGAAAUUGACGGGG